rnacentral:misc_RNA from 1 species
CAAUUUUAAAUCUCAUUAAAUUUUUUUUCUAUUUUUUUAUAUCUCAUCGUUUAACUAAUUAGUUAUUUACGGAAUAAAUCACUCGAAACGUUAUUUGGUCGUAUUUAAAUUUAAAUUCGAGGCUCAAGCGCGAUCAGGGGUAGCCUUUAUAUAAAUAGAAUGCGCAAGAAUUGAU